GGGCCCAUAGUGUAGUGGUUAGCAUGUGUGCUUUACAUGCAGAAGGUCCUGGGUUCGUGCCCCAGGUGGAGCCA
rnacentral:tRNA from 1 species